AAUCCGUCGACUUUAGAAAUCGUGAGGGUUCAAGUCCCUCUAU
rnacentral:tRNA from 3 species